rnacentral:rRNA from 1 species
UCUGGUUGACCCUGCCAGUAGCAUAUGCUUGUCUCUGAGACUAAGCCAUGCACGUCUAAGUAUAAAUUAAUUUUUACGGUGAAACUGCGGACGGCUCAUUAAAUCAGUUAUAACCUACUUGAUCGUGUGACUUUAUUCGGAUAACCCUAGUAAUUCUAGAGCUAAUACGUGCUAAAAGCCUUAACUUCCAGCAAUGGGGGAAGAGGUGUAUUUAUUAGAAACUAAAACCAAUCAGCUUCGGCUGUUUGAGAUGAUUCAUAAUAACUCGGCAAAUUACGGGAAAAUUCCUGUGAUGAUUCAAACGGAUUUCUGACCUAUCAACUUUAGAUGGCAAAGUAGGGGUUUGCCAUGGUGACAACGGGUGACGGGGAAUUAGGGUUCGAUUCCGGAGAGGGAGCCUGAGAAACGGCUACCACUUCCAAGGAAGGCAGCAGGCGCGCAAAUUACCCAAUGCUAAUUCGGCGAGGUAGUGACAAGAAAUACCAAUGUAGGACCCAACGGGUACUACGUUUGGAAUGAGAACAAUUUAAAAACCUUAACGAGGAACAAUUGGAGGGCAAGUCUGGUGCCAGCAGCCGCGGUAAUUCCAGCUCCAAUAGUGUAUAUUAAAGUUGCUGCGGUUAAAAAGCUCGUAGUUGGAUUACGAAGUGGGUGUUUAAAUGUCAUUUUGGUUUGUUUGUCUUUCGGGGCAUUCAGGUCAACUUGGCUUUUACUCACUGUUGUCAUUGUCUUUGCCCAAGGUAUAUGCCUUGUGUGCAUGGCAUUGACCUUCUAUUUUAUGUAAUGUUGUAUCUUUCGGGGUACAUUCAUUCCAUAUAGUUUACUUUGGAAAAAUUAGGGUGUUUAAAGCAGGCGAAAAGGCUUCGGAAUAUAUUAGCAUGGGAUAAUAGAAUACGAUCUAGGUCGUAAUUUGUUGGUUUCUACGGCUUAGGUAAUGAUUGACAGGGAUAGUUGGGGUCGCUCGUAUUGAGUUGUCAGAGGUGAAAUUCUAGGAUUAACUCAAGACGAACUAAUGCGAAAGCAUUCGGCAAGGAUGUUUUCAUUAAUCAAGAACGAAAGUUGGGGGAUCGAAGAUGAUCAGAUACCGUCGUAGUCUCAACUGUAAACUAUGUCGACCGAGGAUCCGGUAGCGUUACAUGGAUGACCUUCCGGGCACUCUGUGAGAAAUCAUAAGUAUUUGGAUUUCGGGGGGAGUAUGGUCGCAAGGCUGAAACUUAAAGGGAUUGACGGAAGAGCACCACCAGGAGUGGAAUCUGCGGCUUAAUUUGACCCAACACGGGAAAACUUACCAGGUCCGGACACAGUGAGGAUUGACAGAUUGAGAGCUCUUUCUUGAUUUUGUGGGUGGUGGUGCAUGGCCGUUUUUAGUUGGUGGAGUGAUUUGUCUGGUUAAUUCCGUUAACGAACGAGACCUUAACCUAUUAAAUAGCUGCGCGAACCCAGGUUCUUUAACCAUUCUCUCCUUCGGGGGGGCGUGGUAUCAUU